ensembl:lncRNA
UUGCUAUUUGUUACUAUUUAUUACCAUCUAUUACUAUUUUAAAUUCCUGUUUAUUGCUGUGUAGUAUUCUGUUGUAUGGAUAUAAGACUGUAUGUUUUAUCUGUUCACUUGUUGGGCCUCACUAGGGGCUUCCAGAGGGCUUCCCAGGCGGAUUCUUUACCAGCUGAGCCACAAAGGAAGCCCGAGAAGACUGUUGUGGGUAGCCUAUCCCUUCUCCAGGGGAUCUUCCGAACCUAGGGAUUGAACUAGGGUCUCCUGCACUGCAGACAGAUUCUUGGUAAAGAAUCUGAGUGGCUGAGCCACCAGGGAAGCCCUUUGUUGUGGUGAGUGGGGGCUAAUCUUUGGUGUUGGUAUGCAGGCUUCUCAUUGCAGUGGCUCAUCGUAAUUGCAGAGCAUAGGCUUUAGGGCGAGUGGGCUUCAGUACUUCCAGUACACAGACUUAGUUGGUCCGUGGCAUUUGAGAUCUUCCUGGACCAGGGAUCAAACCCCUAUUUCCCCUGUUGGCAAGCGAAUACAUAACCAUUGGACCACCAGCAAAGUCCCUCAUUUAGUUUUAAUGUCACUUAAAUAUAAAUGUAAUAGCCAGAUAGCUACUGGGCAAUAGUAUAAGAUGGUAGAGUGAAAAAGAAAGCUUGUACAACAUAUUGAAUGAUACAAGACACAUUUUGACCGUUUGGGGUUAAGGAGAAGGCAAUGGCAGCCCACUCCAGUACUCUUGCCUGGAAAAUCCCAUGGACGGGGGAGGAACCUGGUAGGCUGCAGUCCAUGGGGUCGCUAAGAGUCAGACAGGACUGAGCAACUUCACUUUCACUUUCCGCUUUCAUGCAUUGGAGAAGGCAAUGGCAACCCACUCCAGUGUCCUUGCCUGGAGAAUCCCAGGGACGGUGGAGCCAGGUGGGCUGCUGUCUAUGGGGUCCCACAGAGUCGGACACGACUGAAGUGACUUAGCAGCAGCAGCAGCAGCAGGUUAAGGAAUUUCUCCCAUUUCUGUUUCUGAUACUCUUCUCAAGGUCACUAUCAGUAGGUUCCUGCCUUAUUAUGAUGCUUGCUGCUGUUCAGAGCAUCACCAAGGACACCCUGGAGGGCAUAAUGAAACAGCGGUCUAGGGCCUGAUCUAAUUUGGUGACUCACGCUUUCUCUUCUCUCUGUUACAGUGACUUGACCAAUUUUAAUUGAACAUUUUCGCAUGGGGCUUAUCAAAUGACCUCAACCUUUUAAAAUGCGUUGCUUGGUGGCAGCUCCUUUCUGGGAGUGGAUUUCUUCUGCUGGCUGAGAGAAACAGCUCCCCCACCUCCAGAAAGUCAUUUCACGCUCAGAGAUUUCCUGAUGUUGUGGAUGUCGGUGUUGGGCAAAACAGUCAAGGCGGGUGAAACAGGCAUAACAGGCAUGGAGGAAGGUCACCCCCGUGAGCAGAGAACAGUGAUGAGAGACUGCCGGCCAGAGCAACAGUGGCUGGGAAGGUUUGGAUGGGAAAGGAAAACCCAGCCCAACCUAGGGAUUGCAGACCGAGAAAUGAGGAGUGGUAGGUUACUAGUCAUCGCUGGGAUGGCUCAGCGGUCUGUCUGCCAAUGCAGGAGGUGCAUGUUGGAUCCCUGUUAGGGGAAGAUCCCCUGGAGGAGGACAGGGCAACCCACUCCAGUAGUCUUGCCUGGGAAAUCCCCAUGGACAGAGGAGCCUGGUGGGCUAUAGUCCACAGGGUCGCAAAGAGCUGGACAUGCCUGAGGGACUGAACAAGAGCAGCAGUGUCUUAAGAUGAGACCUCCUCUUCCUGUGAACAUGACACGGAGAAAGAGACACGUUUGACCCUAGUCCCACUCAGCGUCAACUUUCAGGCACGUCCGUGGGGCCUGUGGUCUACAGAGAGCAGAGCUGGAGAAAACAGUGAUCUAAGUUAGAAGAAAUGAGCUCAGUGCUGUGCUGGAAGAAGUGAUUCCUACGUUCACCAGGGUUACCAAGAGUAGUGAAGGACAGACAAGGGCCGGUGAAAGACGGUAAGACCAAAAGACCCAGAGGUUGAAAACCCAGCCCUCGGCUUGUGGAGGAGAAUGCAGACCUAUGUGGUCUGAGAUAUUCAUGGUUUAGAUGAGCGUUUGAUAUGGACUUCCCUGGUGGCACUAACUGGAAAGAACCCGUCUGCCACUGCAGGAGACGCAAGAGAGUUGGGUUCCAUCCCUGGGUCGGGAAGAUCCCCUGGAGAAGGAAAUGGCAACCCACUCCAGUAUCCUUGCCUGGAGAAUCCCAUGGACAGAGGAGCCUGGUGGGCUACAGUCCAUAGGGUCUCAGAGAGUCCGACACGGCUGAGCAUGCAUGCACAGCAUUUGAUAGGAAAAUCGGUCAUUUGUUUCUGCGUACUGCAUUUGCAAGUGAAAAAACAAAUGGAGAUCUCAUAGAUGCCGUAACAAUGAGAAUUUCUACAGAAAUGACCUUGAUCUGUCAAUACAGAAUUUUAUAUCUUAGGAAUAUGUAAUAGUAGCGUUAGUCACUCAAUUGUGUCCGACUCUCUGCGACCUCACGGAAUGUAGCCCGCCAGGCUCCUCUGUCCAUGGUAUUCUCCAGGCAAGAAUCCUGGAGAAGGUUGCCAUUUCCUUUUCCAGAGGAUCUUCCCAACCCAGAGAUCAAACCUGGGUCUCUCCUGUGUUGCAGGCAGAUGCCUUACCAUUUCAGCUACAGGGAAGACCUUAGGAAGAGAAGCAUUCAAGAAAAAGCAAACAAGAGCCCGCCUCACGUCUAAUCCCAUUUCACGCAUCUGAGUAUCACAGAUAGGGCCUGAACUCGGACCUUGGGGUUUCUAUUUGUGACAUGUGUCUCAGAUUCGGAGACGCCCACUGAGGGAACCUGUUAUGACUUUUAAAAAAAAUCAAUUUAUUUAUUUUAAUUGAAGGCUAAUUCCAUUAUGAUAGUGUAGUGGUCUUCUGCUGCUUGUGUAACGGCACACGGAGAAUCAAAGGACCCCUCCAGACACUGUGUAGUUUCUGUGUUGUGGUUUCUCAGAACAAGGGCAGUUUUUCUUCGGAAGAGGUUUUCGGAUGUUGACUGCUGUGGAUGAGACCGAGAGCCCCUUCGGCCUUGGCCUGCUUGGUGGGGAGAACGUGCAGAGCGGCAGGACUUUGUGCCUAGCCUGGGCAGAAAGGAGAAGGGCAGUCAGUGGCUGUCCCAGGGUCCCGCUUAAGGGGCCUGCCUCAGCACAGCCCUGGGGGAUCUGUGCGCUUCAGCCUGAGUGGAUCGCAGGGCGUCCUGAGCCCGGUGCUUUCGCAGGCACCAGGCCUGCUUCCUGGUUUCCUGUAGACUUUGUCUCUCGUCCGGGGAACCCCGGAGCAUCUAGCUGCUUGCUGCCCUUCCUGGUGGAAGUCCUAAUUAAGUCAGACUCAUAAAGAAAGCUGAGCACUGAAGAAUGGAUGCUUUUGUACUGUGGUGUUGGAGAAGACGUUUGACAGUCCCUUGGACUGCAAGGAGAUUCAACCAGUCUAUCCUAAAGGAAAUCAGUCCUGAAUGUUCACUGGAAGGACUGAUGCUGAAGCUGAAGCUCCAAUCCUUUGGCCACCUGAUUUGAAGAGCUGACUCACUGGAAAAGACCCUGACGCUGGGAAAGAUUGAAGGCAGGAGGAGAAGGGGACGACAGAGGAUGAAAUGGCUGGAUGGCAUCACCGACUUGAUGGACAUGACUUUGAGUAAGCUCUGGGAGAUGGUGAUGGACAGGGAGGCCUGGCGUGCUGCAGUCCAUGGGGUCGCAAAGAGUUGGACACAACUGAGCGACUGAACUGAACUGAACAUGCCUGAGGCAGGAGUUGUUCCCUCCCUCGUGGAGUCCGGGGCUAAGUGUCUCUCGGGGAGACAGUUGAACAUGAGGAGGAAUGGCACUCGGGGGAAGACCCACUGGCAGGACAGGGAUGGGCUGAUCGAGAUGCUGGCUGAAGUCUUUUCCUCAGGUGCCUAUCUGAGUCACAGUACUGUGUUCAUUUCCACAUAAAAUAUAGCUGUGGUCGGAUAGUGCUUCUUGCAGCGUUAAUUAGCCAACUGUCCUCUUAGAAUGCAAACAUCGAGAAGCAGCAUCGUUGGUACAUGCUGCUGGCAUGUCUGAAAAUGUUAGUGAGGAGGAAGGAGUAGGUGAAUGAAGUAACUGCCGCCGUCUUUGGUAAUUUAGCUGAUGUGUGUGUUAGUCGAUCAGUCGUACAGGACUGAGUGGCUAACACACAUUCUGUAGCGUCAUAGUGUUAGGUGGGUUACCUAGGCCAAGUCUGUUGGACUUUUUGGGCCACUUGGACUUAAGGAAGAUGCUCUCUGAAAGGAAUUUGUUUGUGCAUCGGAGACUAACUGUUCUUGAGAGACAGGAGGUACCACUUGGGGGGCUGUAAUUGAGCCUUCAAGGGAGCUGAGAGACAGGUGAGAGCUGAACGAAUCACUGCAUGCAUAGGAAUAAAGGAGUUCAUGGUCAGGGUUGAGGUGGGCAUAGCUCAAUGGUAUUUCCCCCAGCUGUGUUGCUGUAUACUUGACGUAGGACAUGGUGUAAGUUUAAGGUGUAGGAAGUGUUCAUUUGAUAACCACUGUCGGUUGCAAAAUGAUGGCGAGUGUAGGGGAACUCACACUCACCUAACAAAAGAAGGUCACCUAAUAAAAUAGUAAGCAUCCUGGGACCUAAUUCCACUUCUGUCUCAUCAGCUCUGUUAGUGGUGUUCCGGUGUACGGUAGGGAGUUAACCGUGUUCGUGGAGCUGUGUCUUACUGAGCAGAGGAGGGAAGUGCCGUUUCAUCUCCAAGUGGUUCCCAUGGGAGUUGGACUAGGAUUUUUUUUUUUUUUUUUUUUUAACCAAAAGACUAUUUCUGCCCUAGUUCUCCGAGGGCAGACGUCUAGGUACACAGAGGUAUAAAGCAAAGCUCCUAA